rnacentral:rRNA from 1 species
GACGAACGCUGGCGGCGUGCUUAACACAUGCAAGUCGAACGGAAAGGCCCUUCGGGGUACUCGAGUGGCGAACGGGUGAGUAACACGUGGGUGAUCUGCCCUGCACUUUGGGAUAAGCCUGGGAAACUGGGUCUAAUACCGAAUAGGACCGCAUGCUUCAUGGUGUGUGGUGGAAAGCUUUUGCGGUGUGGGAUGGGCCCGCGGCCUAUCAGCUUGUUGGUGGGGUAAUGGCCUACCAAGGCGACGACGGGUAGCCGGCCUGAGAGGGUGACCGGCCACACUGGGACUGAGAUACGGCCCAGACUCCUACGGGAGGCAGCAGUGGGGAGUAUUGCACAAUGGGCGCAAGCCUGAUGCAGCGACGCCGCGUGAGGGAUGACGGCCUUCGAGUUGUAAACCUCUUUCAGCAGGGACGAAGCGCAAGUGACGGUACCUGCAGAAGAAGGACCGGCCAGCUACGUGCCAGCAGCCGCGUAA